rnacentral:sRNA from 1 species
GCCAGGUGCAGUGGCGCAUGCCUGCAAUCUAAGGUACUUGGGAGGCUGAGGUAGGAGGAUUGUGAGUUUGAGACCAGCCUGGGCAACUUAGCCAGACCCUGUCUCAA